CCUACGGGAGGCAGCAGUCGAGAAUUUUUCACAAUGGACGAAAGUCUGAUGGAGCGACGCCGCGUGGAGGAUGAAGGUUUUCGGAUUGUAAACUCCUGUCACUGCAGAACAAAGAGUGCAAACUAACUCUUGCACUUCUGAUUGUAUGCGGAGAGGAAGGGACGGCCAACUCUGUGCCAGCAGCCGCGGUAAU
rnacentral:rRNA from 1 species